rnacentral:Y_RNA from 1 species
AGUUGGUCUGAGGGUGUUGGGUUAUUGUUAAGCUGAGAACAUUGUCUCCUCCCACAACCAUGCUUGACUAGUUUUUU